UUAUUUUUUAUUAUUUAAUACUACACUGAUCACUUAUUGUACUUCCAGACGGAGAAGGUGUUACCGGAAAUAUCGCGGAAAUGGCGGGAAAACUGAAAGCUGUAGAAAUGAGUUCUAUUUUGCAGAGGCUUAAUAGCAUCAACAGUGUCCUUGACUCCAAUGUGGCAGCACUCGUAAGGAGCCAGGAGCAGCUCGGCAAAGCAGAAGAAACCCAGAAACACUUCAAUAAGAGUCUAAAACCAUUGUUUGAUGCCUUUGUACCACAAGAAGAACCGGCUUCAUCAUCGGCAACGCUUAAGUGAGAAGUCCGAGUUGGAAACAUUUUGGAAAUUGAUUUUCAUCACCCCCCCCCCCCGUUUUUCUUUACAUGGGAAAUCAAAUGUAAUGCUAAUAAAACUAUGUGCACAAGUUGCUCGUGUUACCACUUUGUAGAAUUU